AGCCAUGCAUGUCAGUGAAGCCUUACGGUGGAACGGCGAACGGCUCAGUAAUCGUUGCGGUAAUUUGGUCUCUGUGUGUAAACUAACCACGGUAACCUGUGGCUAAAAGCGGAGAAUAAGGCGCAACCCUAUCAGCUUGUUGGUAGUGUAAAGGACUACCAAGGCUAUGACGGGUAACGGGAAAUCAGGGUUUGAUUCCGGAGAGGGAGCCUGAGAGAUGGCUCCCACGUCCAAGGACGGCAGCAGGCGCGAAACUUGUCCACUCCUUACUGGGGAGACAGUCAUGAGACGUGAGUAUAAGACCUGAGUGUAAAGACCUUAGGGUGAAGCAAUUGGAGGGCAAGCUUUGGUGCCAGCAGCCGCGGUAACUCCAACUCCAAGAGUGUCUAUGGGGGAUGCUGA
rnacentral:rRNA from 1 species